UGCAGACGCCGUGCGUGUGCUGAGGCGGGGAGCCUCAUUUGAAAAUUAAAAGCUGUGGAGGCUCCUGCUGCUGCACCUGGUAGGCCCUGGGGAGCUCCUGCCCUGAAGAAGGACUUUCUGAGGUUCGCUCCAGCCACAGGCACAGCCUUCUUUGCAAGAGUGGAUGAGCAGUGAGUCCUCGUGCUGUCACAGCACUUGGAGAUCUCAGUGCGAAGAGGGAGCCUGGACACCAUCAUGCAUGACUUGCGCUUUGCAGCUGCUACGCUUCCCUCAGUUCCCUGCACUGUGAUGAAGGAUCAGUGUUAAACCAAAGCCUCCUGGCUCCAGGAAGUUCAACAGCAAGAGCUACGGGACAAAAAGAGGCAGAACUGCCACAAGAAAACUCCUCUGGAAAACAGAGAUCACCACAAGCUUGACAACAACAGCAAGAAACAGCCCUGGUUAAAUGAGGGAGAAUGGGUGCUGGGGGCGGACCUGUUCAAAUAGCAGCAUUAAAAUGCCCAUCAAAAAUUGUGCCUUACAACCACUUA